rnacentral:rRNA from 1 species
AACGAACGCUGGCGGCAGGCCUAACACAUGCAAGUCGAGCGAGGACUUCGGUUCUAGCGGCGGACGGGUGAGUAACGCGUGGGAACGUGCCCUUUUCUACGGAAUAGCCUCGGGAAACUGAGAGUAAUACCGUAUACGCCCUUUGGGGGAAAGAUUUAUCGGAAAAGGAUCGGCCCGCGUUGGAUUAGGUAGUUGGUGGGGUAAUGGCCUACCAAGCCGACGAUCCAUAGCUGGUUUGAGAGGAUGAUCAGCCACACUGGGACUGAGACACGGCCCAGACUCCUACGGGAGGCAGCAGUGGGGACUCUUAGACAAUGGGGGCAACCCUGAUCAAGCCAUGCCGGGUGAGUGAUGAAGGCCUUAGGGUUGUAAAGCUCUUUAAGCUGGGAAGAUAAUGACGGUACCAGCAGAAGAAGCCCCGGCUAACUCCGUG